rnacentral:rRNA from 1 species
UACGAAGGGGGCUAGCGUUGCUCGGAAUCACUGGGCGUAAAGCGCACGUAGGCGGCUUUCUAAGUCAGGGGUGAAAUCCUGGAGCUCAACUCCAGAACUGCCUUUGAUACUGGGAAGCUCGAGUCCGGAAGAGGUGAGUGGAACUCCGAGUGUAGAGGUGAAAUUCGUAGAUAUUCGGAAGAACACCGGUGGCGAAGGCGGCCCGCUGGGCAGUGGCUGACGCUGAGGCGCGACAGCGUGGGGAGCAAACAGG